rnacentral:lncRNA from 1 species
AUCUCAGAGUUGAAGAGAAGUCCCAGUCAUCUCCACUGUAUUAAAAAAUGAUGAAAUGCUGAAACAGGUUAUAAAACUAGUCCUGCAAGUGUAUCUCAAGGACCCCAUAUGUCACCUUAAUGUUCCCAGAUUAGCCACAAGAGCCUAAGUGGAAGGCUGAUGGCGUCCUGUCCACCCCACCCCACGCUGCUUCCCAGCCAUAGGCCCUGUGUAGUGGUUCUGUGUAGGUGGCUGUGAAGAUGACAGAGGAUCACUUGCACACACCGAUGAACAGAGUGAGUCUGUGAUGAAAUAAACUCACCAGAGUAACAUGAAUGCCAACUUAUUAACAAACCUCUCUUAGAAAGGAAUGGAGCUAUGCUGGCCCAGCAAGAGGUUGGUCAGCCUCAUCUAUUUGACUGCUUACGUCAGAAGCGUGAGGUCUGCUG